UUCUUCAGGGCAGGGUGUAAUUCCCGACCGGCGGUUAUAGUCCGCGAGCUUGGUUUUAAAAUUUUAAAUUUUUAAAACUUUGUUGAUUUGGUGUAAUUCCAAAACCGACAGUAUAGUCUGGAUGGGAGAAGAA
rnacentral:ncRNA from 1 species